CUCUGGUUGUGACAUCCACCCCCUCUACCCCCCAGCUAUCGCCAGGGUUGAUUCUACUGAUAUGGUUGGUUAGGUGGAUGUCUGACUCUUCUUUCAUGUUUGUCCCUCCCAAAGGCUGGUGCUCAGUCAAAAAGGAAAACUUUUCCUGAACAGAGGAGGACUGUCAAGAGUAGCCUCGUGGCUGUGCUGCUCUGCUGGAACCUUCAAAUAAGCUCUUAAGCAUCACAGCUAAUUUUAAAAAAAAGUGUUUUUUUUU
rnacentral:snRNA from 1 species